rnacentral:lncRNA from 1 species
UACUGAUGAAGCAUGAAUCCUCCACCCACAAUCUUGCUUGCAAACAGCCAUAACCCGACUUAUCUCAUUCUUUUUAUAGAUAAAAUCAAAGUUCUGCUGUAUAAUGUAAAGCCACAACAUCUUCCUAAACUAUGUGGCAUUGCUAAACUUCAUUCCAACUUCAAGUUUGAUGGUCCAUUUCAUAUCUAUAGAAUCAUUAAUCUCAGUAUAGUGUGGACUAGAGAUCCCAUCAUCUAAAUCUAUCACUACCUAAAUUUUGAAGAUGAGAGCUAUCACUACUCUCUACUUUCACCCAAGUAGGUUGCUCAUUUUCACAUAAAUCUAUAUCUUCAUGGAGAGAAGAAUGUUGUGUCCACGAUCUCAAUUUCUCAUCAAUAACAUCUCUAUCUACAUACUCAUCAAAUAGAUUAUCAUCAUUAUCAUCCUCUAACUCACUUAAUUGACUAAGUGAUCAACUAGUCUGUUGGAACUAUCAAGUGAAAACUCUUUCAAAGGGGCAAUCUUUUCCUGUAUAUUUACAACCCCUUUUUAUUUAUCAUUAACUUUAGACUUUUCAAAUGUUGGUGGUCUUCUUCUGCCAACA